GCCCGUGACUCCUUCACUUACAGUCCUCAGGUCUCCACUCAACACUCACUCCCCUGGGAAGUCUGGAUGCCCCUCUCUCCAUCCCCAUCCCUACCUGCCACCGCAGUGAACGGCUGUCUCAUCAGGAGGCCAACUUCACGAGGCCACAGAUCUUUGCGCAUUCUGUUCAUCGCUCUAUCCCAGGAACCUAGAACAGUGCCUGGCACUGUUCCCCAAAUGCUUGAUGGAGAAACAGAGGCUCACAGAGGUUAAGUAAAUUGCUCAAGGACGCACAUCUGACAGCGGGAACCUGGGAGGAAGGUGCGAGGGCUGAGAAGCUGGUCUCCCGUGGAGGGUCACAGAUGGUGGUGGCCCCAGCUCAGCAGGGCCUCUUUCCCUCUUCUGUGACUUGGCAGGAGCAGGCCAGGACCCUGGGGUUCUGCAAGAUGUUAUCAUUGG